rnacentral:misc_RNA from 1 species
UAGUACAACGGAGGUGCCUGGGCUGUUGCUGACCUCAAGGUCGUGCACGCCCGGAGCGCUCUCUCACAUCCAUCUCACCCCUUUGUGCAUCAUCGCGUGGGGCCCUCUCCUUUGGCUUGUUCCGGAAGGGGGGGGGGUUCACGUUUUUACACGAACAACCCAUUAAUGCAUGUGUAGAAUGUCUUACUUUUGCGGUCACACGCAAUCAAUA